rnacentral:rRNA from 1 species
AGAGUUUGAUCCUGGCUCAGAUUGAACGCUGGCGGAAUGCUUUACACAUGCAAGUCGAACGGCAGCACGGGAGCUUGCUCCUGGUGGCGAGUGGCGAACGGGUGAGUAAUGCGUCGGAACGUCCCGAGUAAUGGGGGAUAACGCAGCGAAAGCUGUGCUAAUACCGCAUACGCCCCGAGGGGGAAAGCAGGGGAUCGCAAGACCUUGCGUUAUUCGAGCGGCCGACGUCUGAUUAGCUGGUUGGUGGGGUAAAGGCCUACCAAGGCGACGAUCAGUAGCGGGUCUGAGAGGAUGAUCCGCCACACUGGGACUGAGACACGGCCCAGACUCCUACGGGAGGCAGCAGUGGGGAAUUUCGGACAAUGGGGGCAACCCUGAUCCAGCCAUUCCGCGUGAGUGAAGAAGGCCUUCGGGUUGUAAAGCUCUUUCAGCUGGAACGAAACGGUACGCGCUAACAUCGCGUACUAAUGACGGUACCGGCAGAAGAAGCACCGGCUAACUACGUGCCAGCAGCCGCGGUAAUACGUAGGGUGCGAGCGUUAAUCGGAAUUACUGGGCGUAAAGCGUGCGCAGGCGGAUUGUUAAGCAAGACGUGAAAUCCCCGGGCUUAACCUGGGAAUGGCGUUUUGAACUGGCAGUCUGGAGUGUGUCAGAGGGGGGUGGAAUUCCACGUGUAGCAGUGAAAUGCGUAGAUAUGUGGAGGAACACCGAUGGCGAAGGCAGCCCCCUGGGAUAACACUGACGCUCAUGUACGAAAGCGUGGGUAGCAAACAGGAUUAGAUACCCUGGUAG